rnacentral:rRNA from 1 species
UGCCAGACUCCUACGGGAGGCAGCAGUGAGGAAUAUUGGUCAAUGGGCGGGAGCCUGAACCAGCCAAGCCGCGUGAAGGACGAAGGUGCCAAGCAUUGUAAACUUCUUUUGUCAAGGGACAAAAUCAGGCUCGAGAGCCUGACCGAGGGUACUUGAAGAAAAAGCAUCGGCUAACUCCGUGCCAGCAGCCGCGGUAAUACGGAGGAUGCGAGCGUUAUCCGGAUUUAUUGGGUUUAAAGGGUGCGUAGGCGGGUUGUUAAGGCAGGGGUAAAAGCGCGGGGCCCACCCCCGGCGAGCCGUUGAAACUGGCUGUCUUGAGAUGUCGAGAGGUAUGCGGAAUGCGCAGUGUAGCGGUGAAAUGCUUAGAUAUUGCGCAGAACUCCGAUUGCGAAGGCAGCAUACCGGCGGCGAUCUGACGCUGAGGCACGAAAGCGUGGGUAUCGAACAGGAUUAGAUACCCCCGUAC